rnacentral:rRNA from 1 species
UUUUAUGGAGAGUUUGAUCCUGGCUCAGGACGAACGCUGGCGGCGUGCCUAAUACAUGCAAGUCGAGCGAAGUUUAUGGGAGCUUGCUCCUAAUAAACUUAGCGGCGGACGGGUGAGUAACACGUGGGCAACCUGCCUGUAAGACUGGG